AACGUCCAUUCCACAUUGAAUACACCAGUUCUUGUCCGAUCACCGAAGUUAAGCAGUAUUAGGUGUGGUCAGUACUUGCGUGGGUGACCGCCUGGGAGCACCGCGUGAUGUU